GAUAGAUAGAUAGAUAGAUAGAUAGAUAGAUAGAUAGAUAGAUAGAUAUGGAAUUACUGUAUUUAUAGUAAUAGGCGCGCACACUUAUUUUUGGCGGCUGGCUUGACCGUGUAUUUUCAAACCGCGGCUGGCUUGACCGCAGUAAACAACUGGGGACGUCUCGACAGCUGGACAGUGCUAAGCAAAGUAAGUUAUUUGUUAUUUUUUAGUGUAGCAAAACGCUAGCUAUCUGAGGCCAUGUGAAUAAAAAUCAUUAAUGCUAAUAAUGAUUUUUUAAGCGGCUUAUAACUUUCUGUUUUGAAACGUAACUCUGUCCAUUUCAGCAGAACAACCAUGCCCAUCAUACAAACAGUUCAUGGAGUACAGAAGCUCGAAGUCAAAAGAACGGCAGUCUUUUAACUAUGGGCCAAAAGGAAGAUUUAUAAGCCUAAAGAAAGAAAACACGUCCAGCAACUGGCUCUUCGUCCUCUUGCUCAACAUUUGGUGAAUACAGAUUUUUUUUUCAGGUGGAUCCAGAUCCUCAGUGUGGCGUUACGAAUUAAUUAUGCAGACUACGCCACCCGGAGGCUAUUCCCGGGACUGCCCUCAACCUUAGAACACACAGGUUCGUCACAACUGGGUCAGGUAUCAGACCAGAGUUGAGUUUAAAACAAAACUUUAUUCAAAACAUUCAAUUUUUGUUCACUGUGUCAAAUAGUUAAAAGCAAAAGUAACAAGACAUCACACUUCAGGGUGGGGGAAGGCCUGGCGUCCUUUAAGCAGAGAUAACACAGCACUCACGCGUGCACUCACGCACCACAGCAAACCACAGCACGGCACACCUCACUGUGAACACUGCAAUCAGAAGGGCCCACCACCACAAGAUGCUACACUGCUGCCGCCGGCCACCCCACUCCUGAAGAAAAAAAAAAAAAAAAGACAAACACAAUUUAAAACACAUAAAUUGGAACAAGCAUCACAUACAGCAACCUGGUCCUCAACACAGUCAACUAUCCAAAAAAAAAAACUGCUGAUUACUUAGGAUGCCUCAGCUACUGGAUUACCAACCAGCUGAAAUAGGCAAAACGUCAAUAAAAAUAAUCACAAAGACACAUAUACAAAAGUAGAUACACCGCACAGGUCACAAAAGAAAAUAAAGAAAAAUAAUUCAACUGAAUCGAUCAAAAGACAUCAGACUACAAACUCAAACCAAUGACAAACAAAAAAAAACAAAAAAACAAAAAAUAUAUAGAAAACAAAAAAAAAGGACAACAACAACAACAAGCAAAAAAAAAAAAAAAAAAAGGAAACAAAACAAUACAAAAUAAACAAUUAAAUCAAACACAAUAACCCCAACAAAGAAAGAAAAGAAAACAACGCUAGUGACUCUCAGGUAGUAGCUACCCUGUCGCACGCCACUUUUAGAUCAGUUACUCACGGUACUGCUACAUCAGCAUCAGAUAUUACUAUCUGAAAUAAAGAUUAAAAUGUCUGAAACAACAACACUGAAAGCAAGAAAUGUCAUGGUACCAGUCUGCCUUAUUACCUGUCCUGGCUGAAUUGUUGAUGAAUGUCCUGGUGCAUCUCUGAAACAUGAUACAAUAUAAAAAUUAUUAGCUCCAUGAUAAAGGCCAUAAUGUAGUUUUGAGUAAAAGGUAGUAGUAGAGGGAACAGAAAGAUUUAUUUAAAAAUAUAUAUAUUAUUUUCUUAUAAAUCACAUUACACAUAUGGUAUUUUCUGUUUCAAGUUCAUCAGAGUUCAUCAAUUCUUCACUGAAUUGUUUCAGUAGAUCAGGUGCUGCUACCUCCAGGUCUGUAAAUAACGGGAGUGUUUUCCCUCUUAGAGGUUUUAUAUCGUUUCCAUCAGUUUCAUGUGGCCUCAUCAAUCCUACAUUUAUCUAGUAAAAUAACAAAGAUAUAUAAUUAAUGUAUACAUAGGUAAAAUAAAUAUACACACACAAAUACAUAUAGAGCAUUGCAAAAUUGUAUAGGACAGUCAGUACAACUUACCUGGACGUGUUUUCUUUCUUUAGGCUUAUAAAUCUUCCUUUUGGCCCAUAGUUAAAAGACUGCUGUUCUUUUGACUUUGAGCUUCUGUACUGAAGUUUUUUUUUUUUUAUUCAGCAAAUAUAUUUGUUUAACAGGGAAGAUGUGCGUAAACAGGAAUAUAUAUUCAUUUAUUAAAAAAAUAAAAAAACACCACAGAAAAAAGGGCACAUUCUCUCAAGGAGGAAAAAGGGCAGGGGCUCAAGCCCCCUUUUAUGUCUAUGUGUGCACAUACCUGAUUAUAGGAACAUUCUGUGUUUACUGAGUAACUCGCAAUUGAGUUUAUUUCACAGUUCUGAAGGAAAUAAUGUCAGAACUGCGGGAUAUACAUUACCGGGUAAAAGUUUUUGAACGGUAAGAUUUUUUAAUGUUUUUAAAAGAAGUCUAUUCUGCUCACCAAGGCUUCAUUUAUUUGAUCAAAAUACAGCAAAGUCAAGUCACCUUUAUUUAUAUAGCACUUUUUACAAUGCAGAUUGUGUCAAAGCAGUUUUACAGUGAAAAUAAUUUGGCUACACAGCAGCUCUAGAAGAAAAUUGUGUCAUUGUCCAGCUUAAAGGGGGGUAUAAUGCUAUUUCAUGUAUUCUGACUUAUUUACACUGUUAAAAAGUUGGAUUCUCAUGCUAAAUAUGGCCAAAGUUUCAAAACAUGAUUUGGACGUAUGAUGGAGUAUUUCUGUGACAAAAAUACUCUUUUAUAUCCUCAUAAACUUUGCAGUCUUUUUUUUUCGAGUAUGGGACUGUGUG